UACGUAGGGUGCGAGCGUUGUCCGGAAUUAUUGGGCGUAAAGAGCUCGUAGGCGGCUCGUUGCGUCAACCGUGAAAACCCGGGGCUUAACUUCGGGCUUGCGGUUGAUACGGGCGGGCUGGAGUUCGGUAGGGGAGACUGGAAUUCCUGGUGUAGCGGUGAAAUGCGUAGAUAUCAAGAGGAAUACCUGAGGUGAAGACGGGUUGCUAGGCCGACACUGACGCUGAAGCGCGAAAGCCAGGGGAGCAAACGGG
rnacentral:rRNA from 1 species